AUUUAAAUACAAUCCUUGUUAAGGUUCAAC
rfam:Clostridium kluyveri DSM 555, complete genome.